GUCUUUUUGUUAAUAAUUUAAAGUCUAAUCUGCCCACUGAUAUAUUUAUUAAAGGGCUGCAGUAUUUUGACUGUACAAAGGUAGCAUAAUCAUUAGUCUUUUAAUUGGUGACUUGUAUGAAAGAUUGGAUGAAAUAUAAACUGUCUCUUUUAUAAAAAAAAAAUUGAAUUUAAUUUUUUAAUUAAAAAGUUAAAAUUAUUUAAAAAGACGAGAAGACCCUAUAGAGUUUUAUAAUUUAUUUUGUAAAUAUUUUUAUUUUUAUAUUUUUAUAAUUUUAAAUUAUUUUGUUGGGGUGAUAAAAAAAUUUAAUUAACUUUUUUUAAUAGUUUACAUUAAUAAGUGAUUAAAUGAUCCAAUUUUAUUGAUUAAAAGAAAAAAUUACCUUAGGGAUAACAGCGUAAUUUUUUUUUUUAGUCCAAAUAAAAAGAAAAGUUUGCGACCUCGAUGUUGGAUUAAGAUAAAAUUUAAAUGUAGAAGUUUAAAAUUUUGAUCUGUUCGAUCAUUAAAAUCUU
rnacentral:rRNA from 1 species